rnacentral:rRNA from 1 species
AUUGAACGCUGGCGGCAGGCCUAACACAUGCAAGUCGAACGAGUGGCGGACGGGUGAGUAAUGUCUGGGAAACUGCCCGAUGGAGGGGGAUAACUACUGGAAACGGUAGCUAAUACCGCAUACUAUCGGAUGUGCCCAGAUGGGAUUAGCUAGUAGGUGGGGUAAAGGCUCACCUAGGCGACGAUCCCUAGCUGGUCUGAGAGGAUGACCAGCCACACUGGAACUGAGACACGGCCCAGACUCCUACGGGAGGCAGCAGUGGGGAAUAUUGCACAAUGGGCGCAAGCCUGAUGCAGCCAUGCCGCGUGUAUGAAGAAGGCCUUCGGGUUGUAAAGUACUUUCAGCGAGGAGGCGUUACCCGCAGAAGAAGCACCGGCUAACUCCGUGCCAGCAGCCGCGGUAAUUC